rnacentral:rRNA from 1 species
AGAGUUUGAUCCUGGCUCAGGACGAACGCUGGCGGCGUGCUUAACACAUGCAAGUCGAACGAUGAAAGCAGGAGCUUGCUUUUGCUGGAUUAGUGGCGAACGGGUGAGUAACACGUGAGUAACCUGCCCUUGACUCUGGGAUAAGCGUUGGAAACGACGUCUAAUACCGGAUACGAGCUAGGACCGCAUGGUCACUAGUUGGAAAGAAUUUCGGUCAAGGAUGGACUCGCGGCCUAUCAGCUAGUUGGUGAGGUAAUGGCUCACCAAGGCGACGACGGGUAGCCGGCCUGAGAGGGUGACCGGCCACACUGGGACUGAGACACGGCCCAGACUCCUACGGGAGGCAGCAGUGGGGAAUAUUGCACAAUGGGCGCAAGCCUGAUGCAGCAACGCCGCGUGAGGGACGACGGCCUUCGGGUUGUAAACCUCUUUUAGCAGGGAAGUAGCGAAAGUGACGGUACCUGCAGAAAAAGCACCGGCUAACUACGUGCCAGCAGCCGCGGUAAUACGUAGGGUGCAAGCGUUGUCCGGAAUUAUUGGGCGUAAAGAGCUCGUAGGCGGUUUGUCGCGUCUGCUGUGAAAAUCCGAGGCUCAACCUCGGACCUGCAGUGGGUACGGGCAAACUAGAGUGCGGUAGGGGAGAUUGGAAUUCCUGGUGUAGCGGUGGAAUGCGCAGAUAUCAGGAGGAACACCAAUGGCGAAGGCAGAUCUCUGGGCCGUAACUGACGCUGAGGAGCGAAAGCGUGGGGAGCGAACAGGAUUAGAUACCCUGGUAGUCCACGCCGUAAACGGUGGGAACUAGAUGUGGGGUCCGUUCCACGGAUUCCGUGUCGCAGCUAACGCAUUAAGUUCCCCGCCUGGGGAGUACGGCCGCAAGGCUAAAACUCAAAGGAAUUGACGG